rnacentral:lncRNA from 1 species
AUAAGUAGUCCGUUUCUCGCAGAAUUGCCUCAAGGAUUCAGUACUGAAUCCUUAACGUCCCCAACAGAGCUCUGGAAGAUCGGAGGAGCAGAGCAGGCUGGGAGAAGGCACAGUGACUGCACGCCUUUGAAUUAACCUUCACUUCCCAAAGCCGAGCUGCGCCUGUGGUUCCUCCAUCCUGAGACUCGGAACACUGCGCGUACCGGUCCUCAUUCUGCUCCCCCCGCCACGCGUGCCAGUCCUGAGUCGCCUCGCUUCCCGUCCCAUCCCUCCCUCCUGCUCAGGCCAGUCCUCCCGGUUGUCCGCUCCCGCGGUCCCCAGCCGUGCGUCCCUCCGGGGCAAAGUGAGGGCCAGCCUCUUCCCGGCCUCCGGCGCCCAGCGAGGGCUCCUGCGUCGUGUGUCUGUUGGGGGCUGGGAGCGUGCAACCCGUCCCCACCCCGCCCCCAGCCUCUGGAAAACUGCCGGCUCCAGCCGUCCUGCGCCUCCAACCGAGCCCGCGCCAGGCCGGGCGGCCCCGGGGCGGGGCAGUGCGGCCAGAGCCCCGUCUCCCGCUCCGGCCCCCGCGGACGCCAGGAAGGACAGCGCGGACACGACAGCGGGAGGGCGGGCGGCGCGCAACAAAGGCCGGGAGGCCGGCGCGGAGGGCACCUCCCGGGCGGCCGAGUGGCAGGGAGGGCGCACCCGCGGGGAGCCAGCCGCCUGUGCGACCUGCCCGGACCCGCGGGAUCGCCCCGCCCGGCCGUCCCGACUUGCAGGCGACACGCGCGUCGGAGCAGAGUAGCCUGGCGGGGAGGGCGCGGGGCGGUUGCCUGCGAACAGUCGCCUCCAGGUCGCUGACACGCGACAAAUUUCGGUCCCCCUUCCCAGGGAACCUGGUGCCGGCCGCACUCCGCCUUGGAGAUGAGCUCUCGCCCCCCGCCGGCCCCUCCGCCACCGAGGAGAGGCGCCCUGAAAAAAAAAGGUUCUAGCAGGCGACGGUGGGAGGGAGGUUGGCCAGGGACCGCCCUUCCCUCCCAGAUCCCCCCACCCCCGGCUUCCGCUAGCGACUUCUGACCUUGCGCCCCACCCCCACCUGUCACCCUAAGGAUAUUGACAUGUCUGAGGCCCAAGUUGGAGCCACUUUCUGUUCUGUGUAGUCCCCAAAUCUGAUGGCUUCUGUGGAGAGAGCUCUGGACACAGAAUACCAAUAAACUGCCCUGGGGGGUGGGGGGAUGGGGGAAGGUCAUAGGUUAGGUACAGGAAAAAGCCACCUUUGCGCAGGCUGUUAUCUUCUGUGCCUGAACGUCCUUUUCUUCAUCCUUCCUGUAAGUUCCUACUCACGUUACAAAACCCUGCGUGGGUGUCCCUUGUCGGUAAGCUCCCUCCCCCCAGCUGAUCACUCAGGCUGUCUACCCCAGAGGCCAGGUGCCAGGCUCUCCUGCCGCACACACCAGGCCACGUGGGCAUGUUUGUGUCUCCCUGAGACUAUGGCAGCUUGAGCCUGUCUUUCUCAUCUCCAGGGGAUCCUUGCCUGUCAAAGGGCCUGGCUCCUAGUUACUCCACUAGGUUCUAAGCAGGCGCUUUCUGACAGUCCUGUGGGUGACACAGGGCUGACCUGGUUAGCAGCUCCCCAGACAGAGCAGAUGGGGACGUCAGGCAGGUGUCUGGAGGAACCAAAGUCCCCACCCACCUACACGAGUCAGGGCCCCUGGCCUCACGUUACUCAGGAAGAAGUGCAGGUCUAGUUCACACAGUCCAGAGUGUCUACUCCCCCCUGUCAAGCCUUUUUCGGCGGGGGGGUGGGGGGGGAGGUGGGAGAUGUCACAGCUGGAAGAGUGGCCUUGAGUCAGAGAGGCCAGGUCUGAAUGUCCUGUCACUGUUGCUCAACUCAGCUCUCCAUCUGUGUAAAGGCAGAUGAUACACAGGGCAUAAAUGGCAGGUCUGUUUUUAAGGACUAAAUAAGAUGUGUCAAGAGCCUGGCCCUGGCCCUGGGAGGUAACAAAAGCAGAUGCCCAGUAUUGCUUAGAGACCUUUCCCAGUCCUGUCCUGGCCAGAGCCCCCUACUUUCCCUUCCUUCCCAGCUGGAGCUGGGAAGGCACGUUGUCCUCACCAUACAGAGAAAACAGAGGUGCCUUUGCUCCCAUAAGUUUUUUUCAAUAUGAAAUUUCCCAAGUUUCAUGAGCUCAAGGCCAGGAAUUGGGGGUACAGGAGCUGCCAGGGUUUUCCCCAUGACUACUUCCUGUCCUGCCAUGGGGCCAUUUCCAAGCUUUGGGGGCCCCAGGUUGGUCUCUGAGAUGUUCCAGCACCCUCUUCACACCGUGAAGGCCCAAACACUUGUUCCACUGGCCCCUCUGCUCACCUGCUGGAGCCACCCCUCCUCAUUCCCAUCCCAGGUGGCUCAGUCUCCCCAUCCUGCAGCGCUCUGGGGCUCUGGGAGCACACCCCCUAGCCUCCAGGGGGCAGUAAAGAGGGAGUUUUAACUGGCUCCUGCAGGUAAGGCCUGGACCCAGGAGAACAUUCACUAUACAUUCCACAGGAUUGCCAGUCCCCUCCCCGCCAUCACCUUUCCCUCAGGCCACAUGUACCCUUCAGUGACCUUGCCCAGUGAAAGCUGCUAUGAACACUCAUUUUAACUAAGGCUGUGUGUUUUAUCAAGUUCUAAAACAGUACUGAACUGCUCACUGCACCCCUCACCCCAGCAUCACCCACCGGAGGCCCCUAGCUCCAUUCUUUCCCCUGUUCAUAAGCGCACCUUGCCCCAGGCUCCUCUCUCAGCCAGAGGACUGUCCCUGGAGGCUUCUGCAUCCACCCUGGCUGUCACCCCAACCCUGGGGGACUACCCUAGCCUUCCCUCUGGCAUGCUCAAUACAGUUCACUUCUGUCCCUGUGUCCUCCCUCCCUCUGCCCCCAAUUCAGGCCCCUGCUCUUGGCCACUCAAGGUCAAGUGAACAUCCAGCCCAGAAUUUAGCGACUUGGAGUGAGAGAAGCUUCAGCUUUGCUUUUUAAUAAUUUAAGACUGACACACGGCCAUCCAUUCCCAGACAGUCCCAACCCUUUGGGCCUAGAGCAGGGAAGCAACCUGGUGAGACAGCCCAUCCCCCUGCCUGUACCCUGUCAUUGCACUUCCUGCUGACCCACCCACAGCUGCCACCGGGGAGUCUGGGCAGAGAGCUUGUGGCUGGGGACAGCCUGGCACCAGCCACAGCCAUGCCCACACUCUACAGGAGAAGGAAGACAGGCCCUCACCGCCAGCUCCAGUGUUGCCUUGGGCAGAGGCAGAGGGCAGGCUGGUGGGGGCGGGGCUGGCCAGUCCUACUGGCCAUGGCUGCUCUUCCUGGAAAUUCGUCUGUUUUUUUUUUUUUCCCUUCAACUUUAUAUAUCACAAAAAUUUCCCAGAAACUCUUAAUAUUCUGGCUACCAGAUAACAUCUCCCAGAUGUUCUCACACCAGACCACAUGUUCCAAUGUUUGGCUUGGAAUAUAUGGCCAAGGGCUGUAAGGCUGUCACUCCAGGACACUUUGCCCAUUUCCAGAAAAAGAACAAAGGUGUUCAAUGGGAUGUGGAAGGAAUGAGACUUUAAAGGCAGGCUCAAGGCCAAUAUGGCCAAGAACUUUCUUUGGUUCUGGAGUGCGGAAGGCUGGGGGAGCCCUUGACAGAGAGUGGGACAGGACUUGGGGGUGAAGAGGUGGUCAGGGGCCAACCCCAGUACCUGCCGCCUCUCUCUCCUCUUGCCAACAAAGGUAAGGAAAGAGGCUGACCCCGCUUCUUGCACUGACGGAGAUCCAGGUCUUUUUUCCCCAGUUCCACGUAAAUUAACAUCCUUAAAACACAUAAGCAGGCUCCUGCCCUCACGUAUGGUGGUCAAUCACAGACGCCCUGCCACAGGGGUUACAUGCCACUGUCAUCUGUCUUUGGUCCACAAAGCAGCUUUGUGCAGUGCAUUUCCAUUCCUCCUAGGCCAAUUCAGGGCUUCUGCGGGAGUGACUGUGCGGGGCGGGAGCACCGCUGGGUCACCGAGGGAUGGGCCUCUGCCUCAGCACACGGAUUGACAAGCUGUCUGCGUGGGCCAGGAGCUCCUUGAUAUGAGCCAAGCCCAGCCCUGCAACUUUGGCCCCAUUUACCUCGAGGAUCUCAUCCCCUACCCCCAGCAGCCCUGAGUACAGCUUGGCCAUGCUCGAAUCAGCUAUCUCCUGCACGUAGAACCCUGCAAAAGAAAACAGAACAAUUUAACAGGUGAAAUCCAAGGACACGCAGCUCUGUGGAACGCUGACCAGGUGGGUGCUGGUGAGCGUGGGGUGGGGAAGCAGGUGCUCACAGGGCACUUCUCCAUGCACACACAUACACACACCCUCAUUAUUCUGCCUCAUAACCACAAGGCUUUCUACAUAGAUACAGUAUGCCUGCCCUCCUGGUAUAAUUUCAUUUUUCUGUCUCCUCUUUUAAAAUGCCCUUUAAGCUGUUAUUAUUUGUGUGUACCCCAGUGUGAAUGAACUAACCUUAUCUUUUUCUGGGAUGAGCUUUGAUUGUAGAAUAAGGAGGAAACUGAUGUUCGAAAAUUAAGAAAAAGACCUACUAUGUGCCUGGUACUGUGCUAGGUAGGAUUCAUAAAUACGAUCAAGUUGCUGUCUUCAAGUAGCUGGAGUGGUAGGAAGGCUCACUGGAGUAAUGAACGUGGCUGAGGUCAAAUGCAAAUCUGGUUUGCUUCCUAUUAUUGUCUAGGACUAGCACUAGCCUCAAUCUUCCUUGGAUGUGGUGGCUCACUUG